AGUGAACGCUGGCGGUAGGCCUAACACAUGCAAGUCGAACGGCAGCACAGUAAGAGCUUGCUCUUACGGGUGGCGAGUGGCGGACGGGUGAGGAAUACAUCGGAAUCUACUUUUUCGUGGGGGAUAACGUAGGGAAAAUUACGCUAAUACCGCAUAGGACCUACGGGUGAAAGCAGGGGAUCUUCGGACCUUGCGCGAUUGAAUGAGCCGAUGUCGGAUUAGCUAGUUGGCGGGGUAAAGGCCCACCAAGGCGACGAUCCGUAGCUGGUCUGAGAGGAUGAUCAGCCACACUGGAACUGAGACACGGUCCAGACUCCUACGGGAGGCAGCAGUGGGGAAUAUUGGACAAUGGGCGCAAGCCUGAUCCAGCCAUACCGCGUGGGUGAAGAAGGCCUUCGGGUUGUAAAGCCCUUUUGUUGGGAAAGAAAAGCAGCAGGUUAAUACCCCGCUGUUCUGACGGUACCCAAAGAAUAAGCACCGGCUAACUUCGUG
rnacentral:rRNA from 1 species